UUAGCCUACGGGACGCAGCAGUGAGGAAUAUUGGUCAAUGGCCGGAAGGCUGAACCAGCCAAGCCGCGUGAGGGAGGAAGGCGCAGAGCGUCGCAGACCUCUUUUGCCGGGGGACAAAAGGCCGGACUCGUCCGGUCCUGAGGGUACCCGGAGAAAAAGCAUCGGCUAACUCCGUGCCAGCAGCCGCGGUAAUACGGAGGAUGCGAGCGUUAUCCGGAUUUAUUGGGUUUAAAGGGUGCGCAGGCGGGAGAUCAAGUCAGCGGUAAAAUGUCGGGG
rnacentral:rRNA from 1 species